rnacentral:rRNA from 1 species
GCAAGUCGUGCGCGAAAGCCUUCGGGCGAGUAAAGCGGCGAAAGGGUGAGUAACACGUAACCAACGUACCCCCCAGAUCGGGAUACCCACUGGAAACGUUGGGUAAUACCGAAUGGUCCCCCGGAUGGCAUUGUCUGGACGGUAAACGGCAGCUUCGGCUGCUGCUGGAGGAGAGGGUUACGGCCUAUCAGCUUGUUGGUGUGGUAACGGCACACCAAGGCGAUGACGGGUAGCCGGUCUGAGAGGACGAGC